AUUGAACGCUGGCGGCAGGCCUAACACAUGCAAGUCGAGCGGAUGAGAGGAGCUUGCUCCUCGAUUCAGCGGCGGACGGGUGAGUAAUGCCUAGGAAUCUGCCCAGUAGUGGGGGACAACGUUUCGAAAGGAACGCUAAUACCGCAUACGUCCUACGGGAGAAAGUGGGGGAUCUUCGGACCUCACGCUAUUGGAUGAGCCUAGGUCGGAUUAGCUAGUUGGUAGGGUAAAGGCCUACCAAGGCGACGAUCCGUAACUGGUCUGAGAGGAUGAGCAGUCACACUGGAACUGAGACACGGUCCAGACUCCUACGGGAGGCAGCAGUGGGGAAUAUUGGACAAUGGGCGCAACCCUGAUCCAGCCAUGCCGCGUGUGUGAAGAAGGCCCUCGGGUCGUAAAGCACUUUAAGUUGGGAGGAAGGGCUUACAGCGAAUACCUGUGAGUUUUGACGUUACCGACAGAAUAAGCACCGGCUAACUUCGUGCCAGCAGCCGCCGUAA
rnacentral:rRNA from 1 species